GACGAACGCUGGCGGCGUGCUUAACACAUGCAAGUCGAACGGAAAGGCCCUGCUUUUGUGGGGUGCUCGAGUGGCGAACGGGUGAGUAACACGUGAGUAACCUGCCCUUGACUUUGGGAUAACUUCAGGAAACUGGGGCUAAUACCGGAUAGGAGCUCCUGCUGCAUGGUGGGGGUUGGAAAGUUCGGGGGUUGGGGAAGGAUUUGCGGGUUAUCAGCUUGUUGGUGGGGUAGUGGCUUACCAAGGCUUUGACGGGUAGCCGGCCUGAGAGGGUGACCGGCCACAUUGGGACUGAGAUACGGCCCAGACUCCUACGGGAGGCAGCAGUGGGGAAUAUUACACAAUGGGCGGAAGCCUGAUGCAGCAACGCCGCGUGCGGGAUGACGGCCUUCGGGUUGUAAACCGCUUUCGCCUGUGACGAAGCGUGAGUGACGGUAAUGGGUAAAGAAGCACCGGCUAACUACGUG
rnacentral:rRNA from 1 species